UGUUCUUCGGUUCUGUGAGCGCCAUGAGUGUAUGUGUGUGUGUAUAACCAUCUAUCUAAGUUCUUCUUCGACGGGUGAUCACUUUUUACGGUGGGAUUUCCAAGCAGUUGAAUUUGGAGCGGCCCCUCAUCCGUCCUUGUGAUCACUACUUUUACCCAGGGAUUUACAAGCGGCUGAAUUUGGAACAGCCACUCAUCCUCCCUUUUGAGUAUGAUCUACUUCCUUUUUUACUUUUUUUUGACAUCACAUUCUCGUAUGCAUGCAUCAGCGUAGAGAUGAAGUUCAAGUACUUUUAAUUUCAUUACUAGUAAAAAGCGGCACACAAUUCCAAGUUUCACUGAUGUUUCCUACAAUAUCCCUGCAGAAGAAUUUUUUUUUUCAUGUUCUUUUUUCUGUCAUCAAUAUAUAAGAUUUGUUAGUUUUGAGUACCUUUCAACUAAUUUCAAGUGAUAUGAGUAAGAAAAUCCAGUUUGGUUGUUGGUCAUCUCAAUUUAAAAUUUUCUUAUUUAUAAAAUUCAGAACUUCUUUCAACUUGACACCUCUUUACAUGCAGAAUUUAUAAUUGUUUUCAAUUUCUCAUAAAUAAAUCUAAACUCAUCUUAAUAUCAAAAUAUAUCUACACUCAUCUUAGGUGAGCUGCACAAAAAUCACUUCACUAUCUUAACUCGCUAUUAUUAAUAAAAAACUUAACUCAUCUCAAUUCAGCUUAAUAUCUAAAUACAGCUUAGUAAGAAUGUGCAUGGAUUCUUCAACAACAUUUGAAGCCGAAGGGUUUUUAAUGGAUCCUACGAAAAAGGAAUGUAGCUCGUAAAUAAUAUAUCAAAGUAGAUUGCAAAUAAGUCUAGCUAAUCACUUUCAAAUUAUAAAUUAAUUGUGAAUUAUGUAUUCUGUGCACAAUUCUUAAGAACUAUAUUGCUCUUUGAUGAAAGUAAACUGUGUUUUCGCAGGCUUUUCCGAAUGAAAUUGUCUUUUUUUUUUUUUUUUUUAAACAAAUGAAAUCGUAGCCGCAGCUAGCGGUUGAUCCUCAGUGCUAAAGAAUUCAUUCUGUUUGUACUGCUGAGAAGCCUGCCUAGUUUACCACCUAACAACCCUUCAAAGCAACACACCAAAAACAAAUACAAAAUUAUUCAGUUUAAGACCCAGAUCUGAGCUUUUCAGGUGGGGAUGCUUCUACCAAGGGGUCCAUUAUGUGGCCAUCAUGGGCCUACCGGCCUGGAUUUUUAUUUAUUUUUAUUUAAUAUCUACUAAUAUCAUACACAUUGUUAGAGGAAGCAGUUUUGGAAGACAACCUGUCCAUCCCUCCAUCCCACUUUCAGCUGAUAGCAUGGAAACAAACAUAUUUCCUCUUGAACUUCUUGGAAAUGAUAAUUACGCGGAUUGGCGUGUCAAGAUGAAAAAUUAUUUGUUGGGUCAAGGUCUUUGGAAUCUUGUUGAAACAAGCUCGAAGCCCCCCAAACCAGAUGAUGAUGUGGUUGAAUUCGAGGCUUGGAGGAAGAGGAAUGAUAUGACUUUACAAGCAAUUCAAAGUUCAUGCGGGAUGGACAUACUAUCUCGGAUCAAUAACAUUUGUUCCGCAAAAAUUGCUUGGGAAAUGUUGGCUAAAAUGUUCAUGGAAAGUAAUGAACAGGACAAGUUAAUACAGACUAAAGAUGAUGAUUCGAUAAUUGAUGAAGGAAACUCUUCAAGUAAAAACAAUGCAGGUCUCUCUCUCUCUCUCUC